rnacentral:lncRNA from 10 species
CAUCCACAGCUGAAGGGAUAGAGAAACUGCCAUACAGAUACACACAGAGUAUGCUUCAGCCAUAAAGCUUUGGGAAAUCCUGUCAUUCGCAGCCACAUGGAGAAACCCAGAGGACAUUAGGUCCAAGAAAAUGAGCCUGGUGGAGCAAGUCCCACACUGCGUGACCUCAGGCAUGUGGACUCCAAAAAGCUUUAUCUCCUGCCCAUCCACAGAUGAAGGGAUCAAGAAACUCUGAUAUAUAUACACAAAGGAAUGUUCUUUGGCCAUCAAGAUAAUUAAAGGAUGUCAUUUGGAGGAACAUAGAUGGCCCGCCGAGGCUGCGGCUGCCUCAUCCUGCACUGUGGAUGGAAGCCGCUGAUCUGACAGGAAGUGGAGCUCAGGUGGUAAUGCUCGCUCUUGCUGUGCUGCCAGGUUCUUAACAGGCCAGGGAUGAUACUGGUCCAGGGGUGGGGGAGCCCUGCUCCAGAUGACAGCCAGAGUAGUCUUAAAUGCUCCAGGAGUAGACAUACAGGCCAGGUCUCACAUGUAAAGCAUCAGAACACCUUUAGAAAGGCAAGCAGCACCUCUCUGUUUCUUGCCUCUGCAUCUCUCUGUGCUUCUGUUUCAUUUUCUUUCAGGACCUUCUGCUUUGCACAAAGGUGGUAUGCAAUCAGAAGACGUCUGAGGAGACAAGUAUGCAUCUCCCACCACAACAUUAUAUGAUGCUUGGAGUAAAAACAGUCCUCCCUGUUCCUACCCACGAAUGUAUUAUUCAAUAAAGAUUGCUGCCAGGCAUGGUGGCUCAUACCUGUAGUCCCGCACUUUGGGAGGCUGAGGCUGGGCAGAUCGCUUGAGACCAGGGUUUGAGACUAGCCUGGACAACAUGGUGAGCCACCAUCUCUGCAGAAAUAAAAUAAAAUAAAAUUAGCCAGGUGUAGUGGCCUGUGCCUAUAGCCUCAGCUACUUGGGAGGCUGAGGCAGGAGAAUAGCUUGAGCCCUGGAAGUCCAGGCAACAGUAAGCCAUGAUGGUGGCACUGCACUCCAAACUGGGUGACAGAGUAAGACCCCUCCUUUGUAUAGCCUUGGAAAACAGAUCAGCGAGGUAGCAGUGAAAGACAUCAUGAUACCAAAUAGAAACAAGGACUUGGAAGACACAUUGGACCUCUUAAUUUCCAGGCCACUUGAUAGUAGAUACAGUUCCUUAC